rnacentral:rRNA from 1 species
AAUCAACGCUGGCGGCGUGCCUAACACAUGCAAGUCGAGCGCGAAAGGGGGGGUAACUCCCCAAGUAGAGCGGCGAACGGGUGAGUAACGCGUGGGUAAUCUGCCUCCGAGUGGGGAACAACACCGGGAAACUGGUGCUAAUACCGCAUGACAUCCGCGGGGCCUUCGGUCGUGGGAGUCAAAGCCGGGGACCGCAAGGCCUGGCGCUUGGAGAUGAACCCGCGUCCGAUUAGCUAGUUGGCGGGGUAANGGCCCACCCAAGGCUUCGAUCGGUAGCCGGCCUGAGAGGGCGGACGGCCACACUGGGACUGAGACACGGCCCAGACUCCUACGGGAGGC